AGGAACGCUGGCGGCGUGCCUAACACAUGCAAGUCGAGCGGGGUUGAAGCGAGGGGUAACUCGAGUUUCUACCUAGCGGCGGACGGGUGAGUAACGCGUGGGCAACCUGCCUCAAGGUUUGGGAUAACAGCCCGAAAGGGCUGCUAAUACCGGAUAUGCCUAUGGCCUCGCAUGGGGCUAUGAGCAAAGGGGAAACCCGCCUUGAGAUGGGCCCGCGUCCCAUCAGCUAGUUGGUGAGGUAACAGCUCACCAAGGCGACGACGGGUAGCCGGCCUGAGAGGGUGACCGGCCACACUGGGACUGAGACACGGCCCAGACUCCUACGGGGGGCAGCAGUGGGGGAUCUUGCACAAUGGGCGAAAGCCUGAUGCAGCGACGCCGCGUGAGCGAAGAAGGCCUUCGGGUUGUAAAGCUCUGUCUGGAGGGACGAACAAAAUGACGGUACCUCCGGAGGAAGCCACGGCUAACUACGUG
rnacentral:rRNA from 1 species